rnacentral:rRNA from 1 species
UUCGGAUUGUAAAGCCCUUUAAGUUGGGAGGAAGGGCAGUAAGUUAAUACCUUGCUGUUUUGACGUUACCAACAGAAUAAGCACCGGCUAACUUCGUGCCAGCAGCCGCGGUAAUACGAAGGGUGCAAGCGUUAAUCGGAAUUACUGGGCGUAAAGCGCGCGUAGGUGGUUCAGCAAGUUGGAUGUGAAAUCCCCGGGCUCAACCUGGGAACUGCAUCCAAAACUACUGAGCUAGAGUACGGUAGAGGGUGGUGGAAUUUCCUGUGUAGCGGUGAAAUGCGUAGAUAUAUGGAGGAACACCGGUGGCGAAAGCGGCUCUCUGGUCUGUAACUGACGCUGAGGCUCGAAAGCGUGGGGAGCAAACAGGAUUAGAUACCCUGGUAGUCCACGCCGUAAACGAUGAGUGCUAGGUGUUGGGUCCUUUCCGGGACUCAGUGCCGCAGCUAACGCAUUAAGCACUCCGCCUGGGGAGUACGACCGCAAGGUGAAACUCAAAGGAAUUGACGGU